rnacentral:lncRNA from 1 species
AUCCCAAAGGCAGUUUCACAGCAAAAGUGUGCAGAUCUGAUCGGUUUUGAAAGCCUUAAAAAGUUUCAAAGCGUUCAUCCGUUUUGAGGACUUCCUUUGGACAGAUGGAGAGUGGCAAAGGACCUGUAAUGCACUGGUUAAUACAGACACGAGCAAAGAAGAGAUGUACUCCUAUGACCAGAGUUUCUAAAAGAAGAGAUGACUCAAGAAGAAAUGACAGAAAGCUUGAAAAUGUACUUCUGGAAAUAUGACCUCAGAUGUUACAGAAACCACCAUGGCUGCACGGGGAGCCCUCUCAUGACUCCAGAUUGUCAAAAUUAGGUGCAAAAGACUGAAGAAGAGACACGUAGAAAAAACUACCAAAGAAGAACAUGAAGCUAAGAAAAAUAGUACAGAAAAAGCUAAACCCUUUGCAGUAGCAGAGCAGGGAUUAUAGUUUUUAUUCACAGAUGGGUAAACUGAAAACUAAGAAAGAUGAAGAAACUUGAUUGUAUCUCAUACCAGGCCAGAUAGUACCAUGUCCUCCUUUUACAUUUUUCCCACUACCCUGCUGCCCAAAGCCAACAUUUCUAUUCUCUGUGGCACAAAACUAAAUGAGUUGCAUGUUUUCCUGGAAAAAAUAAACCAAGAAUUCCAACAUUCCUU